AACCUUGAACAGCAAGCGGCUUCAGGGAUGCCUACAGCUGGAGCUGGCAGCUGUAGGGCUGGCUCUGGAUACCCACUCCCUGAGCUGCUGUAACUUUGCCUAUGCAAUAAACAGCUUCCAAGAGAGCACCUGAAGUCCAGACAUCCUUCGUGAAACUUUCUCCUAUAGGCACGGAGAGGAGCUGGUGGGACAGCAGUGGCACCUCCUGGUGAACUGGGCACUUUCUCCUUCGUGUUCCUGAGCUGGGAGGAGCCGCUUUAGGAUGUGGAUCCCAAAGGAGCAAGGGGUGCCAGGAAGCGCCGCUGAUGGGGACAGAGCCCCUGUGCCUGCUGCUGCCCCACACUGAACAGGGAGCUGCUGAGGAGCCGCUUGGUCCAUCCCUGGAUUCUCCAAGCACUGACUGCCCAUCCACUCUGACCACAGCCAGGGCCACAUCCCAGCGCCUGCCCAGCGUCCAUCCCCAGGAGGUGAGCUCCGUGUUCCCACCUUCUGCCUCACCCACCGAAGGAGAUGAUCCAUGUGAGAUAGAUGUCACCAGCAUGGCCAUACACAGAGUUUCACCCUGCUCAUCAGCCUCUGUGGGCUGGCUGGGAAUGCAGCUGUCCUCUCCCUCAUCAGCAUGAAAAGCACUACUCUCUUCUUCCUUAGCCUGCCUGUCACUGACUUCAUUUUCCUCCUCUUUGUGCUCCCCUCUGCCCUGCUCUUCCUGCUGGAGGACGUGUCCUGCUCUCCUAUCAUGCCCCUGGUGUGCCUGAGCUUCCUUUUCCAGCUGCCCAUGGUCUCCUGCUACUGGGCGCUGUUCUUUCCAGCAGUGGGUAUCCUGUGGGUCUGCAAUGUAAUCCUCUGCAAGGUCUGCUGCCACUGUGACCUUCCCAAGCGCCUGUUCUGGAUCCUGAUGUUUGCCCUGUUUUGGGCCUUCUUCUGUCUCAUCACUGUCAUUCCCACGGUGACACUGCUGUGUCCAGCACAUGAACAGGAGCACUGUCGGGCAGCCUGUACCUGCAUGCCCUGUACCUCCUCCUUGCUGCACCCAUGGUCAUUUUCUGCACAAUCAUCAUCAUUAAAGCCAAGUGUGGCUCCCAGCAGCAGCAACCCAAGAGGUUCCAUUGUGCUCUUCACUCUCCUCCUCAACCUCUGGAAUGUCCUGCAGCAGCUCGGUUAUAUCUCUGUGUCCUCCCAGGUUGUUUUCCUGCUCGCCUGCAUCAACAGCACCCCAUCAAACCCUUCAUCUACUUCUUGGCAGGGAGAUGCUGGAGGCCCUGCUCCAUAGGGACCCUCAGGAAAUCCUUCCAGAAGGUCUUUGAAGAGCAGAAAGACAUCACUUCCAGCAGCAAAGAUACCAACAGGGACAUGGUGAUCUGAGCCUGUUGAUCCCUUCCCCUGUGCUACUGAAGGACCCCGGGACAGUGACUGAGGGAUUCCUUGAGCCAAGUGAUCCAUAAAUAUCCACGGGAUCACCCUCCCUGGGGUGGUUUAUUCCUGCAGCAGAAGGGAGCAGGGGCAGUGCCACAGGCAAUGUGGGAGGGAUGCUCUGCAGGGAGCACACUGGAGCAUGGAUUUCCUCCUCCCUCCCGGCUCCACGUGGCUCCAAGCAGUGCAGCCGGGCUCAGUCCUGUUCCCUGGCUCUAUUCCCCAUGGAAUGACCCUCACUGCCU
rnacentral:lncRNA from 13 species